GCAUAUCAAUAAGCGGAGGAAAAGAAACCAACAGGGAUUGCCUUAGUAACGGCGAGUGAAGCGGCAAAAGCUCAAAUUUGAAAUCUGGCACCUUCGGUGUCCGAGUUGUAAUUUGAAGAAGGUAACUUUGGAGUUGGCUCUUGUCUAUGUUCCUUGGAACAGGACGUCACAGAGGGUGAGAAUCCCGUGCGAUGAGAUGCCCAAUUCUAUGUAAAGUGCUUUCGAAGAGUCGAGUUGUUUGGGAAUGCAGCUCUAAGUGGGUGGUAAAUUCCAUCUAAAGCUAAAUAUUGGCGAGAGACCGAUAGCGAACAAGUACAGUGAUGGAAAGAUGAAAAGAACUUUGAAAAGAGAGUGAAAAAGUACGUGAAAUUGUUGAAAGGGAAGGGCUUGAGAUCAGACUUGGUAUUUUGCGAUCCUUUCCUUCUUGGUUGGGUUCCUCGCAUCUUACUGGGCCAGCAUCGGUUUGGAUGGUAGGAUAAUGACUAAGGAAUGUGGCUCUACUUCGGUGGAGUGUUAUAGCCUUGGUUGAUACUGCCUGUCUAGACCGAGGACUGCGUCUUUGACUAGGAUGCUGGCAUAAUGAUCUUAAGCCACCCGUCUUGAAACACGGACC
rnacentral:rRNA from 1 species